CCUACGGGAGGCAGCAGUGAGGAAUAUUGGUCAAUGGACGAGAGUCUGAACCAGCCAAGUAGCGUGAAGGAUGACGGCCCUAUGGGUUGUAAACUUCUUUUAUAUGGGAAUAAAAUGUUAUACGUGUGGGAUUUUGUAUGUACAAUAUGAAUAAGGAUCGGCUAACUCCGUGCCAGCAGCCGCGGUAAUACGGAGGAUCCGAGCGUUAUCCGGAUUUAUUGGGUUUAAAGGGAGCGUAGGUGGAUUGUUAAGUCAGAUGUGAAAUGUUGGGGCUCAACCGUGAAAUUGCAGUUGAUACUGGCAGUCUUGAGUACAGUAGAGGUAGGCGGAAUUCGUGGUGUAGCGGUGAAAUGCUUAGAUAUCACGAAGAACUCCGAUUGCGAAGGCAGUUCACUGGACUACAACUGACACUGAGGCUCGAAAGUGUGGGUAUCAAACAGGAUUAGAUACCCCUGUAGUC
rnacentral:rRNA from 1 species